UACGUAGGGUGCGAGCGUUGUCCGGAAUUAUUGGGCGUAAAGAGCUUGUAGGCGGUUUGUCGCGUCUGCUGUGAAAUCUCAAGGCUCAACCUUGAGCUUGCAGUGGGUACGGGGCAGACUAGAGUGCGGUAGGGGAGAUUGGAAUUCCCGGUGUAGUGGUGAAAUGCGUAGAGAUCGGGAGGAACACCUGUGGCGAAGGCGGCCCCCUGGGCCGGCCCUGACACUGAGACGGCGAAGGCGUGGGGAGCGAACGGG
rnacentral:rRNA from 1 species